rnacentral:rRNA from 1 species
UACGUAGGGCGCAAGCGUUGUCCGGAAUUAUUGGGCGUAAAGAGCUCGUAGGCGGCCUGUUGCGUCCGCUGUGAAAUCCCGGGGCUCAACCCCCGGGCGUGCAGUGGAUACGGGCAGGCUGGAGGCAGGCAGGGGGAGAACGGAAUUCCCGGUGUAGCGGUGAAAUUCGUAGAUAUUCGGAGGAACACCAGUGGCGAAGGCGGCUCACUGGUCCAUUACUGACGCUGAGGUGCGAAAGCGUGGGGAGCAAACAGG